UACGGAGGGUGCAAGCGUUAUCCGGAUUCACUGGGUUUAAAGGGUGCGUAGGUGGGCAGGUAAGUCAGUGGUGAAAUCUCCGGGCUUAACCCGGAAACUGCCAUUGAUACUAUCUGUCUUGAAUACCGUGGAGGUGAGCGGAAUAUGUCAUGUAGCGGUGAAAUGCUUAGAUAUCUGGAGGAACACCGGUGGCGAAGGCGGCAUCCUGGACCGACACUGACGCUGAGGAGCGAAAGCCAGGGGAGCAAACGGG
rnacentral:rRNA from 1 species